AACCUGGAACCCAAAAAGAUCUGGGUCAAAAAAGCUGGCGGGGGGGGGGAUUAGUGUUGAAAUGAGACAGCAGAGUAAAGCAGUGAGUCUGGCAGAGCACACACACGGAGGAUCUUUACUGCUAUCUGCAUUUGCAGCAGAGACCCUGGUUCCGAUCUCUCCACAGGAACAUUCGGUUCUCUCCCAGCUAGGACUGCUGGUCUGGGUCUCCGGGGUCCAACAAGGACCAGAACUCUAACUCUCCUUCAAGUCCAGCCCUUCAGCAGCCAGAGCCUCAUCGGCGCCGGGACUCCUGCGGUCUGCAGACGCGGUUCUGGGAGUCAGAGGGAUGGAGGGCAGCACGGAUCCAAAGAACCCCACACCUGUUCAGGCUGAGCCCUCGAGCCACCUGAGGAGCCAACAGAACCAGACGGACUCUUUCCUCACUGCAGCCCGCCUCCUCCGGGGGGGGUGGCUGGAGGAACCCAGCACGCCAAGAUGCCAGUCCAGUAGUUUGGUUAGCUCCAUUAAAGUUCUGAAUCCAGCUGAGGUUUGGAGCAGGAACUCCAAAAGCAGGACCGCUGGCCCGAGCGGUGAUGAGUGUUCUGAAGCUGACCAGACGCCUGAGGGCCCAGUAUCGGUUAGAAGACAGACAGACCGGGCUGGACGUGACACGGGAGGGGCGUCCGUCCGGAUUUCAGGGUGCCGGAUGGCCUGCAGGCAGAGCAGGAGGUUCAAAGCUCCGGUUCUGCCUGCAAUCACUGAGAUUUAGGUUUUGGAAGGUCUCAUGUCACCAAAACGACCUUUGAUUGUUCUGAUUUUGUCAUUAAAAAAAAACAACUUUAAUUCUA